UCCGGUUUGUCACCGGCAGUCUCAUUAGAGUGCCCUUGCGUAGCAACUAAUGACAAGGGUUGCGCUCGUUGCGGGACUUAACCCAACAUCUCACGACACGAGCUGACGACAGCCAUGCAGCACCUGUGUGCCAGUUCUCUUGCGAGCACUCCCUAAUCUCUUAGGGAUUCUGACCAUGUCAAGGGUAGGUAAGGUUUUUCGCGUUGCAUCGAAUUAAUCCACAUCAUCCACCGCUUGUGCGGGUCCCCGUCAAUUCCUUUGAGUUUUAAUCUUGCGACCGUACUCCCCAGGCGGUCGACUUCACGCGUUAGCUGCGUUACCAAGUCAAUUAAGACCCGACAACUAGUCGACAUCGUUUAGGGCGUGGACUAC
rnacentral:misc_RNA from 1 species